ACGCGGAAGUGGAGGCCUGUGGCCUGAGGGGCGUUGACUGGCCGCCGGGCCGGAGUGCGCUGGGCCUAGGUCCCGGGACCCGAGGUACCUUCGCGGAGCGCGAGGAGCGCGGGGCGGCGGAGACUUCCGAGGAAAGGCCGCGCGCGACGGUGGACCCGCGCCUCCCGCCCCGAGGCCGGCAUCCCUGGCCGGACCCGAGGGGCCUGGCGCUUGGGCAGGGCCGGCCGCGGGCUGCUCGCGGGCCGCUUGCAGUUACCUCCGGGAUCCUUUUGGGCCACCGAGGCGCCGGGAGGAAAUGGUUCUGGGGACGGUGCCCCCAGCUUCCAUGCCCCAUCAGUUACAGCUUUAUCAUAUUCGCUGUCAGAUGCGGGGAGCGAUGCACUCGGGCUCCUGGCCCCUGAGCCACGCCGAGGAGUCGUCAGGAGCAUCUCGGGACGAGGAAGCCUCCAGCAUCAGCAUCGGGUGCAAGGACAACAGCCUUACAGAUUCUGCUUAACCUGCUCCUGCGAUUGCCUGAGGUCCAGACUCUGUAACAGAACACACCCAUCUAGGGAUUCUGCUUCUCUGAUGGAACCUGAGCUGAUACGCAGAAGUGGACAGCCCAGUGUUGGAAUGGAGGACGCACCUUAUCUUUCAGUUCAGCCAUCCUUGCCACAAGCGCUUCCAUCCUCAGGAUCACAAGGAACAAAGACUGCUGCCACCUGCCCACAGUCUACCGCAUACAGUGGGAUGUACUUCCAGGACCUUGCUUCGGGCGUGUAAGCUCCUCCAUCCAUUAAACCAUCGAUGUCUCUGUCGCUGACUCUGGGCUCCUCCUUCCGUCUUGAGGCUGGGCAGGCCUGCGGGGUGCAGCCCAACAUGAGGGAAGAGCCUUAUUGAUCCUGGUCUGAUUCAUUAGGAGUCAUUUGGGUCCACAAGGGUGGGGAAGCACGUGCUUCUUACUGCAUUUUUAUCUUUGUAAACAUACCAUAGAACACCAGUCCACAGACUGAUAGGUAAAUGCUGUGGACUGAAUGUUUUGUGUGUCCCCUCCCCAAAUUCAUGUGUUGAAAUCCCAAUGCCCAAUGUGAUGGCAUUAGUAUGUGGGGCCUUUGGGAGAUGCUUAGGUCAUGAGGGUGGAGCCCUCAUGAGUGGAAUUAGGGCCCUUAUAAGGAGACCCCAUAGAGUACCCUUGCCCAUUCCACCAUGUGAAGACACAGGGAGAAGAUGUGGGCUGUGAACCAGCACGAGGGCCAUCACCAGCAUGAGACCACGCGGGCAGCUUGAUCUUGGACUUCCCACCCUCCAGAACUGUGAGAAAUAAAUUUCUGUUGUUCAUAAGCUAUGCAAUCUGUGGCAUUUUGUUACAGCAGCCUGAAUGGACUAAGACAGUAAAUAAGAAAGAACUUAAUUUUUGUUUGA